UACGGAGGGUGCGAGCGUUGUCCGGAAUCACUGGGCGUAAAGGGCGCGUAGGCGGCUCAUGAAGGCUGUGGUGAAAGUCCGGGGCUCAACCUCGGAUCGGCCGUGGCGACUCGUGGGCUGGAGCACUGUAGAGGCGGAUGGAAUUCCGGGUGUAGCGGUGGAAUGCGUAGAGAUCCGGAAGAACACCAGUGGCGAAGGCGGCCCGCUGGGCAGUGGCUGACGCUGAAGCGCGACAGCGUGGGGAGCAAACAGG
rnacentral:rRNA from 1 species